rnacentral:rRNA from 1 species
UACGGAGGGUGCAAGCGUUGUCCGGAUUUAUUGGGCGUAAAGAGCGUGUAGGCGGCCAGGUAGGUCUGCUGUGAAAACUCGAGGCUCAACCUCGAGACGUCGGCGGAAACCAUCUGGCUAGAGUCCGGAAGAGGAGAGUGGAAUUCCUGGUGUAGCGGUGAAAUGCGCAGAUAUCAGGAAGAACACCCGUGGCGAAGGCGGCUCUCUGGGACGGUACUGACGCUGAGGCACGAAGGCCAGGGGAGCAAACGGG